UCCCCGGUCCCGGUCCCGGUCCCGGUCCCGGUGUGUGCCCCUGCCCCUUCCCCUUCCCGCCCGGCCGCGGGGCGGCGCCGACGCGCUCUCCUCCGCGCGGCACUGGAGGCCAUGGACGCUUCCCUGUGAGCGCGCUGCCGUGCGGGCACCCGCGGGUCCCUCUAUCAGAGCAGAGCUUGGUGUUCCUGAGGGACAGCACUGACACCCCCCCACACACACACAUACACACAGAGCCGGCAGGAGGGAGUUUUGGGGCGGCUGCUCGGUGCUGCGCAGCCAGUCACCCGGUUUGUUAGGCGAAGCCUCACACGGAGGCUGACGGGCUGAGUGGCUGUUGAGGAAAUCCAUCGUAUUUCAUCCUGUUUCAUCAGCAUGCCCCCGCCAGCCCCUGGCUGUGUGUGCACUCACACAAGAAAUGAGUACAGAAUAAGGAGGAGUGAAUUGCUUCUGUCUGUGUGCAAGAACGAGGAAGCAGCGAGGUACCAUGAGACACAUCCCUCACACAAUCAAGGAAUAAAUGGUUGCAGUUGUGGAGUGUUUCCUGCUAAGUGGAGAAGGCUGCUUGCUACCUGGUGCUGUCCCUACUCCCACUGCAUUUCAGGGAUAACAUAACCAGGGUGAGAAAAGAUUUCUGAAAACACUACAGCUGCUGAGAAUGGAAGCUGUUCUGAAGUGUUAAGAAAAGAAAGUCACAAAAGAUGGAGUCCACCUGGUUUCCUUGUGGUUCAGACAGACUGAAGAAAGACUGAAGACUGUAUCCCCUCAGAAAAGCAGUCCAGUGCAAAUUUAACCCCUCGAGCAGUGCCUGGUUUGUCUUCAGCUCCAGAGCAAGCAGAGGUAAGCAGCCAAGAGCAAGCACCCCACAGCGAAGAGGAGCAAGACAUUGCAGCCAAGCCUGACAAAUGCAGCUCCUGCUGGAAUGGCUGGGUGGCCAAUGGCAUCUAGGGAAAAACAUGGCUCCAGCUGACCUCUGUGCUGUGCAGCUGAUGGGAGGGACUUUGUUCUGGUAGAAAAUACAUUGUGUUUCAAACUGUCAGAGCUUGAGUCCCCCACUGCAGCACCCGAAUGGAGUUCUGAAAAAUAUUUUGUUACAGUUAUUUACUGUUACCUCUGGAAUAAGCAUUAUAAUGUAUCUAGCAGUGCUGAGAUCUUAUCAGCAUGACUAGAAGAGGAAAGAAGUGCAGUUGAAUUCCAGCCAAUGAAGUUUCAGCAGCAGUAAGUUAGGGACUGACUUCACUAAGACUACCCUAGAAGCACUUCAAGGCACUGUCUGUUCUUAGGCUGCACUAGAUCCCUCUGUGCACCCCAGCUUUGAAAGCCUCCUCAGGAACAGUGCAGAUUUGGGUGAUCCUCAUGUACAACCCUGAAUCCUUGUCAAGGCAAGAGAAGGUGGCUAGGAAUAUGCAAAUUUAAUUCAGCAUUAAUUCAGCUUCAGCAAUACCUAAGUCAAUGUCUUGCUAUUUAAGAAUGGUGUGUUAAGGGUAAAGGAAAUAUAAUUUAAGGGAAAGCUCAAGAUCUGGGUGUGAUAGUGUGGUAAUCAGUAAAGAAACUUCAUUUAAGAUCAGCAUCAGCCCCACUUCUGCCUUAUUAACUGCUGGGGAGAGUUUUUUUUUAUUUUCUAUUGGCAAAGUUUAGUGAGUGGUAAGUGAGAAUAACCAUUAAUUCUUACCUGCUUCAUCUGGGAACUGGAUGAUUCUGUUACAGCACAGACAUGACUAAUACCAAGCUGCUUCCAACUGGCUGUUUGUGUGCCCUAACCUUUAAACGUUUCAGGGGCUUCAGACAGAAUUUAAAAAAAACAAUGCUAUCUGAGGAGUCCAAUGUGCAAGGGAGCUGGAUAAAAGUCCUCAGCAAGAUUACAUCUGUCUGGUAACCAUUUUAAUGAGCAUUUUAAGCUCAUUUCAUACAAGCUUGGUGAAAAUAACAUAUUACCACCAUUGAAUGUUGCAGAGAGCUCGUUACAAUUGAGACUCAGUUUCACCAAGCAACAGCAGAAACUGAGACAGAAGCAGAAUAGUUUUAUAAGUUUAUUGUAAA